rnacentral:lncRNA from 1 species
UCACAUAAGACCAUCUUUAAAGGAGAUGUCAAAUUUUAAACAUAAAAUUUAAAUUUGACAGCUCAUUUGACAUUUUGACAUCUCUAAAGUUUUUCUCUUCACCUGAUAUGUCAAAUUUUAACAUAAAAGAAACAAACUAAAAUGUAUAAAAAUAUUUAAACAGUGCAUUGGUAAUGAAAGGAAAUGAAAAGGCAAUGCUUUAAACCAAUAAAAAAUCAAUAAAAAGCGUUUAAUAUUUAAUUAAAAUUUAUCUGAAGCUGUUGUCAAAUUUGAUAGCCACCAUCUUUGUUGCCAUUCCACGUCAUGCCACACAAGAAUUGGCAUUUCGGUUGGCAAACACUAAUGUUGUCUUUUUU